rnacentral:rRNA from 1 species
AUUGAACGCUGGCGGCAGGCCUAACACAUGCAAGUCGAACGGUAACAGGAAGCAGCUUGCUGCUUUGCUGACGAGUGGCGGACGGGUGAGUAAUGUCUGGGAAACUGCCUGAUGGAGGGGGAUAACUACUGGAAACGGUAGCUAAUACCGCAUAACGUCGCAAGACCAAAGAGGGGGACCUUCGGGCCUCUUGCCAUCGGAUGUGCCCAGAUGGGAUUAGCUAGUAGGUGGGGUAACGGCUCACCUAGGCGACGAUCCCUAGCUGGUCUGAGAGGAUGACCAGCCACACUGGAACUGAGACACGGUCCAGACUCCUACGGGAGGCAGCAGUGGGGAAUAUUGCACAAUGGGCGCAAGCCUGAUGCAGCCAUGCCGCGUGUAUGAAGAAGGCCUUCGGGUUGUAAAGUACUUUCAGCGGGGAGGAAGGGAGUAAAGUUAAUACCUUUGCUCAUAGACGUUACCCGCAGAAGAAGCACCGGCUAACUCCGUG